AACUCUGAACGGUGGAUCACUCGGCUUGUGCGUUGAUGAAGAACACAGCUAGCUGCGAGAACUAAUGUGAAUUGCAGGACACGUUGAUCAUUGACACUUUGAAUGCACUUUCCAGUCCCAAGUUAUUCUCAGGGCUACACCUGUCUGAAGGUUG